CUGGAAAGACGGAGUUGCCACCAAUUGAGAUGGAGGCUAUAGGAGGAGCAGGCAGUUUGUGCAAAGGGGAUGGGGGAAUCCCUAUAACUCCUGUGCAGGGAUGUGAGGGUCAAGAAGGCACUGUGGGUGAAGCAUCUCCCAUGCCUGACCUUCUCCCACCUCUUCCUGCACCUGACUGCUAGGCUCAGGUCUCUGUCCUCCACCCCUUCCUCAGAUAGGCCUGCCUUCCCCAUUGCCUAAAAUGUCCCCAUGCCACCCACGGUGCCCCAUCAUCCUGCCUCAUUUUCCUCCCAGCACUUAAUCUUCUCUGAAAUAACCAUAUUCUUUGAUUGCUUUUGGUCCUGUGUUUUCCCAACACCGAGAAAGGCUCUCACAAUCUCUAGAUUUGCACAAAGGUGGGGCUUUCUCUGUUUUUAUUUGAUUUUUUGUUGUUUUAUUUUUUAAGUUUUGUUUUCUUUUUUGACUCCGCAAGGGUCUGGGCAGUGCCUGGCCCACAGUAGACUCCUAAGAAGUGUUCACUGAGGGGCAAUUAGGAGGUGCUUAGUGGCUGCACCAGACCUUCAGCAUCCUAGACCCCUGGCUCUGACACUUACUGCUUAAGAAUCACCAGGGCCACUUACUGAAAAUGUACAAUCCUGAGAGCCGGACUUACUAAGUCUGGGUUUGGACUUGGAAACAUGCAUUUUUAACAAGAUCUCCACUGGGUUCUGAUGCCAGUGUCCUGGAGGGGGCCACACUUCAUGAUAAGCUAUCAUCCCAACCCACUCAGGGAAUGGCAUGGAGUCCAGAAUUGCUAUUGGAACACUGCCCUCCUCGGAGGCUCCUGCCUGCUGGAGGCGUGGUGGCCUGAUGAUUGGCAUCACUCCUGUAGCUUGAGGGUCCAGAGUGUGGACUCACAUGGCGCUUCAGACCCUUCUCUGAAGCCUGACUCUUUGGGGGCAGUGCUGCAGAUUGACAAAGGGUGUUUCUGCACAGGCCUGACUCACACAACACUGGAAUGGGCCGGGAAGGAGCCUCCCGGCCAGACGCCCACUUUGGUACCAGCCCUGGGUUAUGUAACUCCAGAUGCCUGUGACUAACCCAUGGCCCCGAGGGCAUCUCUGGGUGGGGAAAAGAUGAGGGCUGACUUCUCCAGAAUUUAAAACGAAACAUCUCAGGACUAUUUAUAAAAGCACAGGACACACUAGGGGGAAGUUCAGAUAAAGGCCGUGGAGGGGUGCAGACAAGGAAAGGGAACCAGGAGGUGUACUUGCAAACUUGACCUACUAAAGGCAUGGCUUCCAGAGCUCUGAGGACAGUUGACCUUCAAAACAACGAUUGACCUUGGGGAAAGGAUGAGUCACAGAGGCUCCAGGGCCUGGUUCCUGCUGGCAGAGCUUCCAGCCUCUGAGUCCCAGAGUGUUCUCUCCUAGGAGUGAAACAUGUACUUGGUAGAUGUCGGCUGCCUCCACCAAAUGCAAAAACGCAUCUCAUCCUGUGAGCUGACCUUGCUGGGGUGAGGUCUACUUCUUGGGGAAGACCCUGGGCUGCUAACUGGGUCUUGGCUGGUCCUAGGUUUGUGGCAACCAGUAGUCACUGGAUCCAUCGAUGAGAAUAAAUCUUGUUGGCAUGUGGAGACAAGGCCAGGUAGAAGCAGAAGUCAGAGGGCCAGGAGGCAGGUAGGCCCCUGUCUCUAUGUUAACUCAUGCCAAGCCAUAAUGGCAGCUCACGUUGAUGGAGCUGUCCAUGUGCCAGCCCCUGCCUGAAGUGCCCGCAAUCAUCUCUCGCUUUUCUUCGAUAACGGAGUGAGAGGGAAGAGCACGGGGCUGAGAAUCAGGGGGCCCAGAUGGAAGACCCACUCACCGCUAAAUUGUUGGGGGGCCUGGGAUGACUUAUUACAAUAUUAAUAAUGACCACAGCAAUGACUACAGCCCCAUUCAUUGAGCACUCGGCACUCAUCAUCUCAUUAAGCCUUGUCCUGCAAUGCCAGAGGCUUUGGAAUCAGAGCUGGAGUUUUGGAAUCAGACAGAGCUGGAGUUCAAGGAAGAGCUCUGACACUUAUGAGCUAGCAACCUUGAACGCAUCAUUUAACCUUUAGGGGCUCAAAAACAGCCAUUGUUUAUUCAUCUCACAAAUAUGCAGUCUGGGCAAGGCUUGGCAGGAACAGCUUAUGUCUGACUUUAUGUGGUGUCAGCUAGGGUGGCUUGCAGAAAAGCUAGCAACCAAAAUCCCCGAAGGCUCACUCACUCACAGAUGAUGCCGAUGCCAAUACCAAUGACGAUGGUGAUGCAGAUCAUGAUGCAGAUGGUGAUGCACGUGCUGAUGCAGGUGCUGAUGCUGAGGCAGGUGCUGAUGCAGAUAAUGAUGCAGAUGCUGAUGCAGGUGCUGGUGCUGAUGCUGAGGCAGAUAUGAUGCAGAUGCUGGUGCAAAUGCUGAAGCAGGUGUUGAUGCAGAUACUAAUCUGACGCAGCUGCUGAUGUUAAAGCAGGUGUUGAUGCUGAUGCAGGAAUGAGUUUGAUUUGAGAAGCGGAUUCCUUCUCCCCGGGAAAGGCACAAAGUUUUCUUUCCAAGUGCAGGUUGAAACUAACUCCUGGUGAAGAAGCUCACGGCACCAUCCAGCAUGGCACCGUCUGGGAGUCGUUUUUGAUUAGAAGUUGACCUCAGAAAUAUGCUCACAUCAUUUUGAAAGCAUCUUCCAGCACCACAGAAAUCGACUCAGAUGGAGAAAGGACACUGAGUGGACAGGGGCCAGGAUGGGGCGUGGACGCUCUGCCUCUGCCGGGGACAAGGCCUUCCCACAGACUCCCUGGGGUGUUGCCAGCCUGAGUCAGAGAUAUUGAUGUAAUGCCUACCGUGUUCCAGACACGCUGCGAGGCCCUGGGGAUGCAGCCACAAUCCCAACAGAUCUGAUGCCUGCUCUCAUGGAACUGACUUUGCACUGGGGGGAGGCCAACUCCACGAAAACAGAAACUGGAUGACACAUUGGAGGGAGAGCAGUAAAAGGAGCAAGCAGAGAGCAAGAACAACAGUGUUGCCAUGGGGCGGGUGGGCCCGCUGUAGCCAGGGAGGGCCUCUCCGAAGGUAUAACAGUGCCUUGCUGAAUUCACUCCCACGACCCCUCCAUGCUUGGGUCAGGAUGCAUGAACCUGAAAGCACAUGAAGUCCUCUCUGGGAUCUUCUGCCUUUGGUCCUAACUGUUCUCAGGGGGAAGCGACUCUGAAGGCCAAGAGAGUCAACUCCAGAAGAAAACCCCUACUAGAUGCAAGAAGAAUGGGCAUCGCUAACCAGCCCGUUUGCUGAUGUAUGGCCCCUAUACUUUCGUUGGUUUCCUGGUUUCUCUUUGCAGGCAAUUAUUUAACCCUGUGAUGGAACAAAGCAGCCAGGAAGCAGUAGGGUUGGCCGUGGGUUGGGGCUGGAGUCUUAGCAGUCAGCCUGGAGGAGCUGCGGGCUCAUGUCAGCACUCUGGGAGAAAUGAGCAAGCUUUUGGGAGGAGGAAGGCAAAUCCAUCCUCACCCGGGCUGUGAGCAUGCCACUGGGCUCGAGGCGAAUGGGGAGGAAAUCAAAGUGUCAGCUCGUGUUAGGAAACCGCACAUGAUGCUUCCCAGUCCUGGCCGUGCUUUUAAAAAUUAGCCAAAUAAAAAUGGUUGAAG
rnacentral:lncRNA from 1 species